CCCUGAAAAGUUCUAACGGCAUAAAGGUUUGGUCCUGACCUUACUAUCAGCUUCUUCUAAACUUACACAUGCAAGUCUCAGCAUACCCGUGAGGAUGCCCUUUAAUCUCUACCAGGAUAAGGAGCUGGUAUCAGGCACUAAAAUUUGCCCAUCACACCUAGUCUCACCACGCCCCCAAGGGUCACAGCAGUGAUAAACAUUGUUCAUAAGCGACAGCUUGACUCAGUUAUAGAAUACAGAGCUGGCCAACUCGGUGCCAGCCGCCGCGGCUAAACCGCACGAGCUCAAGUUGAUACAUUUCGGCGUUAAGCGUGAUUAAAGGAUCUUCUAAUUAGAAUAAAAUCAUCAUUUAGCUGUGACAAGCUUGUAAUUGAGAAAAACAAAAACGAAAGUUAUUCUAAUAUACUUGAACCCACGACAGUUAGGAAACAAACUGGGAUUAGAUACCCCACUAUGCCCAACCGUAAAAUAUACUUACACUACCAACGCCAGGGGAUAACGAGCCUAGCUUAAAACCCAAAGGACUUGACGGUGUCCCACCCAACUAGAGGAGCCUGUUCUAUAAUCGAUAACCCCCGAUUUACCCAACCCUAUUUUGCCACUCAGCCUGUAUACCUCCGUCGUAAGCUUACCAUAUGAAUGCCCACAGUAAGUUUAAUGAUUUAAACAUCAGUACGUCAGGUCAAGGUGCAGCUUAUAAUGGGGAAAGAAAUGGGCUACAAUUUCUAAACUAGAACACACGAAAUGCUACAUGAAACAUAACAACGAAGGCGGAUUUAGUAGUAAAAGGGGAAUAGUGUGCCCCUUUUAACAAGGCCCUGGGACGUGUACACACCGCCCGUCACCCUCUUCAACAACCAAUAACUUGUCUAUAACAACUUUCCCAAUCACAGAAGAGGCAAGUCGUAACAUGGUAAGUGUACCGGAAGGUGCACUUGGAAUACAAAAUAUAGCUUAACCAAAGCCCCUCGCUUACACCGAGAAAAUGUCUGUAAAAAUCAGAUUAUUUUGAACCUAAAAUUUAGCCUAUUUUAAACCUUCUGCACACACAAUCACAUCUACUUAAAAAUAAAACAUUUUAUCAGUUCAGUAGAGGCGAUCAAAAAACUUAUUAGAGCCACAUUAUUAGUACCGUAAGGGAAAAAUGAAACAGCUUUGAAACAGAAUUAAAGUGAAACACAGCAGAGACUGCCCCUCGUACCUUUUGUAUCAUGGUUUAGCUAGUCCUCAACAAGCAAAGCGAAACAUCAGUUUGACCCCCCGAAACUAGACGAGCUACUUUAAAACAGUUUAACAGAACCAACCCGUCUCUGUCGCAAAAGAGUGGGACGAUUUUAAAGUAGAGGUGAAAAGCCUAUCGAGCCUAGAGAUAGCUGGUUACUUAAGAAAUGAAUUUUAGUUCAACCUCAAUUCUGCAUAUUAAAACUACAAACACCUAAGACUUGAGAGUUAGUUAAAUAAGGCACAGCUUAUUUAAUAAAGGAUACAGCCUACAAAAAAGGGUAAAAGUUAACUCAAAUAAAUCAAGUGGGCCUAAAAGCAGCCACCUUUAAAAAAGCGUUAAAGCUUCAUCUUAUAACUCAACCAAUACCUCACCACCCCUUUAACCCUUUACCACUAUUAAGUAAAUUUAUAAUAAUAUAAAAGAUUUUAUGCUAAAACUAGUAACAAGAAAUUGAAUUUCUCCAAAAUUUAAGCAUACACCAAAAUGGACUAACCAUUGGUAAUUAGCGCUAAUAAAAUUGUUAUAGUAACAUACCAAGAAAACACUACAUUUUUACACGUUAACCUUACACAAGUAAAUUUCAGGAAAGAUUAAAAGAAAGAGAAGGAACUCGGCAAAUUUUAACCCCGCCUGUUUACCAAAAACAUCGCCUCUUGAUUAAAUAUAGGAGGUCCAGCCUGCCCAGUGACACACUUAAACGGCCGCGGUACCCUGACCGUGCAAAGGUAGCAUAAUCAUUUGUUCUUUAAAUAAGGACUUGUAUCAACGGCAUCACGAGGGUUAUACUGUCUCCUCUCUCCAAUCAGUGAAACUGACCUCCCCGUGAAGAGGCGGGGAUAGAAACACAAGACGAGAAGACCCCAUGGAGCUUUAAACCCAAUAACAACUCUUCUUAAUAAACCUAAAAAAUUUAGAUACCCUGUUUAUUGGUUUUGGGUUGGGGUGACCACGGAGUAAAAAUUAACCUCCUUGACGAAUAGAUCUAAUCUUUAUCUAAGAGCCACCACUCAAAGAAUCAAAAAUUUGACGUUACAUGAUCCGGCAACCGAUCAACGAACCAAGUUACCCUGGGGAUAACAGCGCAAUCCAUUUCAAGAGCUCCUAUCGACGAAUGGGUUUACGACCUCGAUGUUGGAUCAGGGUAUCCCAGUGGUGCAGCCG
rnacentral:ncRNA from 1 species